rnacentral:tRNA from 1 species
GCUUCUUUAGCUCAGUGGACAGAGCGCCGCUCUACGAAAGCGUGAGGUCAUAAGUUCGAAUCUUAUAAGAAGCA